ensembl:lncRNA
GAUUUACAGUGUUUAAAAUCAGCACUGUUUCUUAUUGAAGUAGUUCCCACUCAUGUUGCUGUUAGAACUAUUUGUUAUUUCUUUUAGCUGGAUCAGUUACCUAAUCCAAUGAGGCAGCAAGAACACAAAAAAGCAGUGGGGGAAAUGGUGAAGACACCCCAGUGUGAUGGCCUUAGGUACUGCAAUGUCCUGCAUGAAGACGCAAACCCACAAAGGGCAGUCCAAGUUACAAGCCUUGUCGUGAUGCAGGAAGCCCAUGGUCCCAUGACGAUCUGUUAUGACCCUUCUUCCUUCACAAGUGGCAGCAGAACUCCAGAGAGGAAGAGGCAAAUUCAGAACAUAAUGCCACCUCCAACAGUCGUAGUGCUGAUCCUGGAGAGAGCUAAGGCAACUUCUAUGUGUGUAUAUAUAGAAAUCUUCCAUCAAAGAAGUACCUAUGAAAACAAAUCCUGGGCCAAGGUCCCACCAUGUUCAUUGCUAUCCAUAAACAUUCCUGCCCAAAGUAACCCAGAAUCUAAACACAAAAAAGUGAUGGAUGAAUACAGACAGCCAGAGUUUAUGAAGCAGUCAGUAUCGAUCAGUGUGACAGGCACUGGCCUCUGCUCAGCAAUUUAGUAAAGAUGUGGAAGUCAGAGGAAGGCAAGGAAAAGCUGGGCUGAAAGCCUGGCUGAUCUUUCAAGGGGAUUUGCAAGGACCAAGCUUAGUAGUUGCUGCCUAGAGGUCAGAAGGCAUUUUGCAUAGCUGAUGCAUGUAACAUGAUAGGUAAAGGCAAUUAAAAAAUACCAAAGCCAGUAAAAGACACAUUUAAACCAUGUGCCAUUGCUAUUGAAAUUGAAACAACAAAGAUGAACACAAGGCCACUGGGAGAGUAGAACAAUAUAAGGUACAUAAAAAGAAUAGGAGUGUCUGCUGAGAAAUUCUUGGGAGUUCAGCUGGUGACAAUGCCACUGAGAGCAGAAAAGAAAGCAAGGACGCAGGUGUUUUAGGAGCCAAAGAUGAGCAGUAGUUGGAUAAAAUAACAGCAGUGAUGGAACCAAAUGCACAAAACAGGACUGAAUAUCUGUUCCCAGCUGAACAUGAAUUCUCUGCUACAGGCAAAGUUUUUCAUUUUUUCCUCAUUUUCAGGAAAUUUCCUCGUGAUUAGUGUCUUCCUGCCACUUAAGCAGCAUGUCAGUGGCAUACAGAGUAGGCAGCACUGUAUUACCAGAUCAGCACUGUCAACAAAGAUUUAGCAUUUGAUUGUUCAAGGACAACAAGUACUUAGGCUGGAGAAAUUCAAAAACUUCAAGAAUUCUAACAAAAAUGUGGUUUUAAAUAGAUUUGCACUCCAAGUAUCCAACUAACUGAAACUGGUUAAACACAGACAAUUACUUGCAUUUCUUAGGUGCAAUGAAGAUGUCACCAGUUAUGGAUGAUCAUAUAAAAGAUUUAACAUCCUCUCAACUUUAGUAGCACAGCACAAGAAAUCCAUUCAGACAUAAUAGGUUGACACUGCUACUUUAAAUACAGCCUGUGUAUUAAAAGUGAGUAAUUUUAAUUUGAGAUAUGUCCAGUAAAAUCCUGACCAGUGAAGCUUAACCAACCAGUGGUGCAAAAGCCAAGCUCUACUGGGACC